rnacentral:lncRNA from 1 species
GGUUACUGCAGCAGCCAAACUGCUAAACGCUUCCAGCAUCAGGCAUAGAAUGAAUGAUGGAGAAACAAAAUAUGGAAGCUGGAAGGAAGAAAGAACCAGGAAAGAAAUCCCUGCAUCUAAAGACCAAAGGUUGAAUAAAAUAUACAGUCCAUCCUUAAGAUCUCCAGUACUCUAAUGGACAUACAAAAACAUUGACAGCUUGAAUUGGACAGCUGAACGUUGACGGUGCUGUAUUGCAUCUUAAGAAAUAUUGUCUCUUGGUUUAUUCCAUCUCAUUCAUAAGCAUCUGUGGUCUUCUCCUGAGAAUGGAAGGUGUGUGGGAGAAGAAACGAGAAUAUUUGACUACAGCGCUUAGGUAAGAUGAUAA